CCUACGGGAGGCAGCAGUGAGGAAUAUUGGUCAAUGGGCCCGAGCCUGAACCAGCCAAGUCGCGUGAGGGAAGACGGUCCUAUGGAUUGUAAACCUCUUUUGUCGGGGAGCAAAAGACGCCACGCGUGGCGUUCCGAGAGUACCCGAAGAAAAAGCAUAGGCUAACUCCGUGCCAGCAGCCGCGGUACUACGGAGGAUGCGAGCGUUAUCCGGAUUGAUUGGGUGUAAGGGGUGCGCAGGCGGAAGAUCAAGUCAGCGGUAAAAUUGAGAGGCUCAACCUCUUCGAGCCGUUGAAACUGGUUUUCUUGAGUGAGUGAGAAGUAGGCGGAAUUCGUGGUGUAGCGGUGAAAUGCAUAGAUAUCACGCAGAACUCCGAUUGCGAAGGCAGCAUACCGGCGCUCAACUGACGCUCAUGCACGAAAGUGUGGGUAUCGAACAGGAUUAGAUACCCCAGUAGUC
rnacentral:rRNA from 1 species